GACAGAGGGUGCUAGCGUUGUUCGGAAUUACUGGGCGUAAAGGGUGCGUAGGUGGGUUGGUAAGUCAGUGGUGAAAUCUCCGAGCUUAACUUGGAAACUGCCAUUGAUACUAUCAGUCUUGAAUAUUGUGGAGGUCAGCGGAAUAUGUCAUGUAGCGGUGAAAUGCUUAGAUAUGACAUAGAACACCAAUUGCGAAGGCAGCUGGCUACGCAUAUAUUGACACUGAGGCACGAAAGCGUGGGGAUCAAACAGG
rnacentral:rRNA from 1 species